AUCCAGCUGACGAGUCUCACAUAUGACAAAACGCGAGUCCUGAAU
rnacentral:hammerhead_ribozyme from 1 species